rnacentral:rRNA from 1 species
CCUACGGGAGGCAGCAGUGGGGAAUAUUGCGCAAUGGGCGAAAGCCUGACGCAGCGACGCCGCGUGAGGGAUGAAGGUCUUCGGAUCGUAAACCUCUGUCAGCAGGGAAGAACGGUCACUGUGCUAAUCAGCAGUGAAUUGACGGUACCUGCAAAGGAAGCACCGGCUAACUCCGUGCCAGCAGCCGCGGUAAUACGGAGGGUGCGAGCGUUAAUCGGAUUUACUGGGCGUAAAGCGCUCGUAGGCGGUAUGUCAAGUCAAGGGUGAAAUCCCCGCGCUCAACGUGGGAACUGCCUUUGAAACUGGGAAACUGGAGUGUAGGAGAGGAUAGUGGAAUUCAUGGUGUAGCGGUGAAAUGCGUAGAUAUCAGGAGGAACAUCAGUGGCGAAGGCGACUAUCUGGCACAUAACUGACGCUGAGGAGCGAAAGCGUGGGUAGCAAACAGGAUUAGAUACCCCAGUAGUC